AUGGGUGCGUGUACGAGGUGUGGACAUCAAGUUCAUGAUCUAGUCCAUCCAACGGUGGAUGUUUAUUACCAGUUUCAUCUAUAUAUAUGUAUUUAUCGAGAGAGAGAGAGAGAGAGAGAGAGAGAGAGAGAGAGUGCAUGGGGUCGUGGUCAUUUCUGCUGGGAAGUGAGAACCCAGAUGGUAGGGUAGAGCCUGCACCAAUCUUUUGUCUUUUAUAGCGUUGGCUUUGAGCUCUUUUUUACUCUUCUUAUAACACUCCCAUACCAUAUCGUUCUCAUUCAUUAUCACCACCACCAAUCCCCCAUCUCUGAUCUCUCUGAUCCCCCUUAAAGAUAGGCGAGACUCAUGGGGGAUUAGAGACAUAUACUCUUCUUCAGAGUUGAAGAUGAUAUGUGUGAGAUAUUGGGAAGCCUUUUGUUUUGAGGGGAAUGUUGUCUGGCUCGAGGACACUUUGUUUGAUCCCUUUUUCUCUCCUCUCUCUGAUCAAUCUAAACCACCAAUUGGGGAUCGAGUUUUGGUCAUGUUUUAGUGUCGUCGGACCAGGCUUCAUUCCCCCCAAUUUUACGCUUCCAUGGAGCUAUGCCAAGGCUUUGUUCAUGGGCUAUAUGCGGAGGUAUGGAAUAGGCCUUCUCGUGAUCAAUACAAAGGGAAAAUAGUUGAUUUGAAAGAGAUUGGCAAAAGAGCUAUAUUUAUAGGCCUCUAGGAAGAUAGGGUAACAUGUCUUAUUAUAUCCUCUCUCUCUCUCUCUCUCUCUCUCUCACACACACAUGAUCAUCUUCCACCCAUGACAUAACCUCAAGACUGUUUAUGUCUCUCUUCGAAUGGUUUUAUUAUUAUUGUUUCAUUAUGCAUUUUGAUUGUCUAAAGUUCUCAACAUAUUGCAAAGAAAGUCCAAAUUUUAACUCAUACUUGCAUUGUCUCCAGUGAUUUAAGCUAGUUUGUCUUGUUUUAAUUACAUUAUCUGGUGGGUAUUAGUAUUUUCACGUUUCACUGCCGUUGAAAAAGGGUUUGUAUGAUUGCUUUCUCUUAAAGAAUAGCCUUUUUUGGGAACUUGCGUCUUUUGUUGCUUUGCUUUUUAAACCCUUUGGUCUUCUUUUUCUUCAUCUUUUUCUGUGAGUUGCUUCCAAUGAUUUUAUAGAGAGAGAGAGAGAGAGAGAGAGAGAGAGAGAGAGAGAGAGAGAGAGAGAGAGAUCCGCUCACUCUUGAUGAUUUCUGAUAAAAGUUUUGCUCCCACAACUUUGUUCGGGUGCGUAGUGUACCAUGCACUUGACCUAGCUGUUCAAAAAGCUUUCUGAAGAUUUUGGACAACUUGAUGGGAAGAUGAGGAUAUAAUGAUGGGGUUACUUCACCUAUUUACUAUUUUCUUUAUUUUUUAAAAUUUUUUUAUUUAAUAAUUAAGAGAGUGAUUAUUAAUUUAAAAUAAAUAAUAAAAAAAUAAAAAAUUUCAAGAAUAAUAAAUAGAUAAUAGAAAAUUGUAAGCCAUCAUUAUCCUUUUAUAUAUAUAUAUAUAUAUAAACACACACAUAUUAAACUGAUUACUCAAAUAGGAUAGUUAAAUGAAGCCCUGCCAAUUAUUUCGGAAUCCAAUGCAACUUUAAUGUUUACCUUUUUUUCCCCCAAGUCUUGUGAUUGAACCCCAUUUCUGACCUCUUUUAAUUGCCUCUUCUUUUUUUAUUUCUUUUUUUCCUAUUGUUUGUUUGGGAUUUUGUGUGGGCUUAAUAAUGCUGAUGCUAAAUGGUUGAUUGUCCUGACACUCCUGACUCCUUAUGGCGACUUGCAUGUUGUUUGAAGGUAGUCUUUUUUCAGUCUAAUUAAUGAACCGUUUCAAGGGGGGUAAGUACGUUUCCUGUGAUAAACAGAGUUGCAGCAGCCAAUGUCAGGUUUGAAAGUUACUAAUUUUAACGUGACUAUCUAAAUACAGCUCAAGUACAUGGUCUAAGUCAGAGUUCAAGGGAUUAUUUUAUACACAUGGGGAUACCAAGUUGUAUAUAAAGAGUAUUAAUUCAAAGCACAGAUUGUUUGGCGCGUUUUAUGCAUUUUUUUAAUCAAUAUUUGUGUAAACUGCUGGAUAAAAUGGAUUAGUUUGUUCGAGGUUUGAAUUUGAGUACUAAAGAAGGUUUUUAUUGCUGAUUGA